AAGUCGUAACAAGGUUUCCGUAGGUGAACCUGCGGAAGGAUCAUUAAUAUUGAAUUAGAGGGAUGGUUGGGAGUGGGGUGAGGGAAGGGGGGGAGUUAAUAAAUGGGAGAGGGAAGAGAGUAAUUAUGUUUCAUUCACUUGUAUUUAUAAAAAACAAACCAACUGACACCACACACUAUACCACCAUCAACAACCUUUGUGCAAAUAAGGAAUAAUUAGGGUUAGGUUAGAGAGGGGGAUGAUAAGGGAUGAUGAUUAUUUAUUUUAUCAUUCAUUAUUAUUCUCAUUAUUUAUUCUAUUCACCAUUAUUCUUUAAAACCAUAUAAAAUUUAUACUCGAGUCUUAAAAAUAGAAAUAAUAAUAAUACAACUUUUAACAAUGGAUCUCUAGGCUCUU
rnacentral:misc_RNA from 1 species